rnacentral:rRNA from 1 species
UGGCGGACGGGUGAGUAACGCGUGGGUAACCUGCCUCAUACAGGGGAGUAACAGUUAGAAAUGACUGCUAAUACCGCAUAAGACCACAGCACCGCAUGGUGCAGGGGUAAAAACUCCGGUGGUAUGAGAUGGACCCGCGUCUGAUUAGGUAGUUGGUGGGGUAACGGCUUACCAAGCCGACGAUCAGUAGCCGACCUGAGAGGGUGACCGGCCACAUUGGGACUGAGACACGGCCCAA